GAUGAACGCUAGCGAUAGGCUUAACACAUGCAAGUCGAGGGGCAGCAUGGUCUUAGCUUGCUAAGGCUGAUGGCGACCGGCGCACGGGUGCGUAACGCGUAUGCAACUUGCCUCACAGAGGGGGAUAACCCGUCGAAAGACGGACUAAUACCGCGUACACUCUAUGUUGGGCAUCCAAUGUAGAGGAAAUGAAAUUCGCUGUGAGAUAGGCAUGCGUCCCAUUAGCUAGUUGGUGAGGUAACGGCUCACCAAGGCGACGAUGGGUAGGGGAACUGAGAGGUUGAACCCCCACACUGGUACUGAGACACGGACCAGGCUCCUACGGGAGGCAGCAGUGAGGAAUAUUGGUCAAUGGGCGAGAGCCUGAACCAGCCAAGUCGCGUGAAGGAUGACUGUCUUAUGGAUUGUAAACUUCUUUUAUACGGGAAUAACAAGAGUCACGUGUGGCUCCCUGCAUGUACCGUAUGAAUAAGCAUCGGCUAACUCCGUG
rnacentral:rRNA from 1 species